rnacentral:tRNA from 1 species
GGGCUCAUGGUUUAGUGGCUUGCGACUAAUAAAAGUCGUCCAUGAAUGACAGCGCCCUUACAAGGCGUUAAUCCCCGGUUCGAGUCCGGGUGGGCCCACCA